UCCCUCUUAGCUCAGUUGGUAGAGCGCGUCACUAGUAUAUCCACAUCAGUACAGUUCUACAAUGACGAGGUCAGUCGUUCAAAUCGGCUAGCGGGAA